UGGGGAAUUUUGCACAAUGGGGGAAACCCUGAUGCAGCGACGCCGCGUGAUUUAGAAGGCCUUCGGGUUGUAAAAAUCUCUUGUAUGGGAAGAAAAUGACAGUACCAUACGAAUAAGGACCGGCUAAUUACGUGCCAGCAGCCGCGGUAAUACGUAAGGUCCGAGCGUUGUCCGGAAUCAUUGGGCGUAAAGGGUACGUAGGCGGAUAAGCAAGUUAGAAGUGAAAUCCUAUAGCUCAACUAUAGUAAGCUUUUAAAACUGCUCAUCUUGAGGUAUGGAAGGGAAAGUGGAAUUCCUAGUGUAGCGGUGAAAUGCGCAGAUAUUAGGGGGAAUACCGGUGGCGAAGGCGACUUUCUGGCCAUAUACUGACGCUGAGGUACGAAAGCGUGGGUAGCAAACAGG
rnacentral:rRNA from 1 species